AUGUCUGUGGGGCCUUGUACCUGACUAAGGCCUUUUCCUCAGUCAGAUGCUUGUUCAAGAUUCUCUCCCUGAACUGUUUUGUUAUUAACCAUCCUCCUCCAUGCCUUCCCAGUUUCUCAGGGCUGGCCCUUUGAUUGGAAUAUAUAAAUGGCCACUCUUGAAAUUGUGGCUGCUAUCCUCCCCUUUCUCUCUAUCUUCAUUCUGCAACCCCAAAACCAGCCUUAGUUUCUGUCUUGGCCAGCAAAAGAAUUUUAAGUCUCAGUCCACAAAGGGAAGAGAAGAAAUAGGCUGCCUGUUUUUCCGAGCACCGUUGAAGUACCAGGCAAGGGCUUUUGGUACAGAGUCCUUAGUACCAUGAAUUUCCUCCAGUAGAAAUCACUUUAGAGAAGAGCUAAUCCCUCCACUUAUCCCUUAUUUUAUAGAUAAGAAAACAGAAUUCUUAAGAAGGGAAGAGGAUGUAUUCACUCAGUAUUAAAUGUUAUUUUCUUUGCUUUAUCCAGGUUCUAUGUCAAUGGGCCCAGGAUUCUGAAACAUAGUCCAUGUUGUCAUAAAGGCCACAGCCUAGUUGGGUAAACCAACACUGAACAAUUAAGUUUGAUCCAGUUGGGAAACUGUAUUAUGGGUAAACAGAUUGCCAGGAGAGCCAGAACAGUUAAGAGCUGCUUAGUGUUCCACAAACACAAUCAAUCUUGAAUCAGUCAAUGAAUAACUUGCCAGCAUUUAGGUCACCAACUAUAUCUGCUUUCCUAAAGCUAUGCAGGGCUCCCCAAGCAAUUGGAACAUUGAUAUUAGCUGAUUCUGGGUGAAAUGAAUGUCUAGAGAGCUUAAUGUAGUUAUUCUCUUUUGCCUCUUAGGAAUCUAUGGAUUUCCUGAAAUAUGUUGUUGACAAACUAAACUUCAAGCCUCUAGAGCAGGAGAUGCCUGUGCAGUUCCAGGUGGUAGAGCUGCCCAGUGGCCACCAUCUAUGCAAAGUGAAAGCUCUGAACAAGGGUGAUGCCAACUCUGAAGUCACUGUGUACUACCAG
rnacentral:sRNA from 1 species